rnacentral:rRNA from 1 species
UGGGGAAUAUUGCACAAUGGGCGCAAGCCUGAUGCAGCCAUGCCGCGUGUAUGAAGAAGGCCUUCGGGUUGUAAAGUACUUUCAGCGGGGAGGAAGGGGGUAAAGUUAAUACCUUUGCUCAUUGACGUUACCCGCAGAAGAAGCACCGGCUAACUCCGUGCCAGCAGCCGCGGUAAUACGGAGGGUGCAAGCGUUAAUCGGAAUUACUGGGCGUAAAGCGCACGCAGGCGGUUUGUUAAGUCAGAUGUGAAAUCCCCGGGCUCAACCUGGGAACUGCAUCUGAUACUGGCAAGCUUGAGUCUCGUAGAGGGGGGUAGAAUUCCGGGUGUAGCCGUGAAAUUCGUAGAGAUCUGGAGGAAUACCGGUGGCGAAGGCCGCCCCCUGGACGAAGACUGACGCUCAGGUGCGAAAGCGUGGGGAGCAAACAGG